rnacentral:rRNA from 1 species
GUGGGGAAUUUUGGACAAUGGGCGAAAGCCUGAUCCAGCCAUGCCGCGUGCAGGAUGAAGGCCUUCGGGUUGUAAACUGCUUUUGUACGGAACGAAAAGACUCCUUCUAAUAAAGGGGGUCCAUGACGGUACCGUAAGAAUAAGCACCGGCUAACUACGUGCCAGCAGCCGCGGUAAUACGUAGGGUGCAAGCGUUAAUCGGAAUUACUGGGCGUAAAGCGUGCGCAGGCGGGUAUAUAAGACAGAUGUGAAAUCCCCGGGCUCAACCUGGGAACUGCAUUGGUGACUGUAUAGCUAGAGUACGGUAGAGGGGGAUGGAAUUCCGCGUGUAGCAGUGAAAUGCGUAGAUAUGCGUAGGAACACCGAUGGCGAAGGCAAUCCCCUGGACCUGUACUGACGCUCAUGCACGAAAGCGUGGGGAGCAAACAGGAUUAGAAACCCCGGUAGUCC